rnacentral:rRNA from 1 species
UACGUAGGGGGCGAGCGUUAAUCGGAAUUACUGGGCGUAAAGCGUGCGCAGGCGGUUUUGUAAGCCAGAUGGGAAAUCCCCGAGCUUAACUUGGGAACUGCAUUUGGGACUGCAAGGCUAGAGUACGGCAGAGGGGGGUAGAAUUCCUGGUGUAGCAGUGAAAUGCGUAGAUAUCAGGAGGAAUACCGAUGGCGAAGGCAGCCCCCUGGGUCGAUACUGACGCUGAGGAGCGAAAGCGUGGGGAGCGAACAGG